rnacentral:lncRNA from 1 species
AUUAAUUGCGAUAUUUUAAAAAUGGGAAAACUUCAAAUGCCACUGCUGUGGUUUUACACUUUUUUACUUUCGUAUCCUGUGAUUUAAAGUGUAUCAAUUUAGUGCCAUAUGAUUUCAUUUUUAUCUUUUUAUUAUCGAUUCCACUAAUUUUUUUUAUUAAAUCAGUGACAAAGUUAAAACUAAAGGGUACUGAAGUAAAUAUUCGAUAAACCUAGGUGGGGUAUCUGAUGUUUUUGUAUAUAAUUUAACGAAAUAUUAACAGAGAAGCUGACGAAAAGAUAAAAAUAAAAUCAUAUAUAGGACAUUAACUUGAUACACCUUAAACCGCACGGUACUAAAGUGAGAAAGUGCGAAACCACAAUAACGGUAUUUGAAGUCUACCCUUUAAAAAUUUUUAAAUUUGAUCAAAACUAAAAUAAUAAAAAUAAUUAUUUAUGAUUGAAAAUCAUUUCAAACUUUCUGUUUAUGGUGAAACAAAAAUACGCAUCGGGAUCGACCGUCCCUAGAGCAAGUGGCAAAGAAUUUGAUGGUUGGUAUCCGAGACCCAAGUUCGAAUCCUACUUGAUUCACUUUUUCAGCUAAAUUUAUUUCUAAAUGAAAUAAACGAAACGGGUAGCGUGCAAUCUAUCUCAAAAAAAAAAAAAAAAAAAAAAAAAAAA